rnacentral:rRNA from 1 species
UACAGAGGGUGCAAGCGUUAAUCGGAAUUACUGGGCGUAAAGGGCGCGUAGGCGGUUAAAUAAGUGAGAUGUGAAAUCCCUGGGCUUAACCUAGGAACUGCAUCUUAUACUGUUUGACUAGAGUACUGUAGAGGGUAGUGGAAUUUCCGGUGUAGCGGUGAAAUGCGUAGAGAUCGGAAGGAACACCAGUGGCGAAGGCGGCUCACUGGACCGGCAUUGACGCUGAGGUGCGAAAGCGUGGGGAGCAAACAGG